rnacentral:sRNA from 1 species
AUUCUGCCCAUGCGGAGAAGGAUGAGAAGCUUCGACCAAGGUUCGACUCGAGCGCCAGCGAGAGAGCGUUGCCGCAGGCAACGACCCGAAGGGCGAAGCGCGCAGCGCUGAGUAAUCCUUCCCCCACCACCA